GACUCGUCAUUUACCCCAGUUGUCUGCAUCUGAGUUGGCACAUGGAGCCCAGGGUGGAGCAUCUCACAGUAUAUGCCUCUUGAUAAAAGCCAAAUUGGGUGAGCUCAAGAAGAGUUCAAGCUAGUGAGACUUUCUCACUGCAGUUCCUGAAGCAUGAAAGCAGCAAGUUUUAGUAGAAAUGUUACCCGUGACCUUUGGGUAGGAUC
rnacentral:lncRNA from 1 species